rnacentral:rRNA from 1 species
UACGAAGGGGGCUAGCGUUGCUCGGAAUCACUGGGCGUAAAGGGUGCGUAGGCGGGUUUUUAAGUCAGGGGUGAAAUCCUGGAGCUCAACUCCAGAACUGCCUUUGAUACUGAGGAUCUUGAGUUCGGGAGAGGUGAGUGGAACCGCGAGUGUAGAGGUGAAAUUCGUAGAUAUUCGCAAGAACACCAGUGGCGAAGGCGGCUCACUGGCCCGAUACUGACGCUGAGGCACGAAAGCGUGGGGAGCAAACAGG